AAAACCUAAAGUUUAGCUGCGCCAUUUCGCCUCAGUCGCUGGGAAAAAUCAUACCAGAAACCUGCACUGCAAUUUAUAAUGCUCUACGUGAGGAAUACCUGCACUUGCCUGAGAAUGAAAGCGACUGGAUGAAUAUUGCUACAGAUUUUAAAAAAUACUGGCAAGUAGAAAACUGCGUGGGGGCUCUUGAUGGAAAGCAUAUUGCCAUCCUUCAACCUCCUGGAAGUGGUUCGUAUUUCUUCAAUUACAAAGGUUUCUUCAGCGUUGUAUUAUUGGCUGUGGUAAACGCAAACUAUGAAUUUAUGUACGUAAAUUGUGGAGUGAAUGGACGGGUGUCUGACGGGGGAGUUCUCUUUGAAACCGAUUUUGGGCAACAGUUGGAAAACGGCCAGUUGAAUUUGCCAUCACCAACGACCUUUCCAAACAACAGAGAUGUAUGUUUACCUUUUGUUUUUUUUGGGAGAUGAAGCUUUCCCCUUAAAAGAAAACCUAAUGAAGCCAUACCCUAAUAAGGGAAUCACCCACGAUGAAAGGAUUUUCAACUAUCGUAUUUGCCGUGGAAGAAGAGUUGUUGAAAAUGCCUUCGGCAUUUUAGCAAAUAGGUUCCAAGUAUUGCAAACAACAAUCAGGACGAGCUUGGAAACCACUGAAGUUAUUAUUUUAGCUUGCUGCGCACUCCACAAUUAUUUACGAAGGAAAAGCUCAACUUAUUUGACGCCUAGUUCGGUAGACUGGGAAAACACGGAAACUGCAGUUCUCACUGAAGGCGAAUGGAGGAAGAAUGUUCGCCAACUUUUAGGCAUGAAGCAACGCAAUCGGUCCGGGAAAGAAACAUCACUGGCUGAACCAAUCCGAAAAUACUACAGGGACUUCUACAACAACGAGGGACAAGUAGAGUUUCAAGAGCGCAUGAUAAAUCGCCGCUAAUGUUAUACAUUCUAAAAUAAACAACAGAUGGGCGUAAUGUAUAUGUUGUAGCCAAGGGUAACCCAAUGCAUUACCUCUUUAAUGGUCCACUGUAAAUAAUUGAAAUGGAAAAUAAUGACGAUGUGCUUUGCUUUUAAUAUGUGUUUAACUAUAAAUAUAUGCACAUUUUACUACAGUUGGUUGUACUUUCUUGGUAAGUAUAUGUUUCAGUUUUUGUUUGUAAAAUUAUUUGAGUCAAAUCUGACAUUGUCAAUAAAAUAAUAAAGUAGUUCAAAUGUUA